rnacentral:rRNA from 1 species
UACAGAGGGUGCGAGCGUUGUUCGGAAUUAUUGGGCGUAAAGGGCGCGUAGGCGGCGCCACAAGUCACUUGUGAAAACUCUGGGCUCAACCCAGAGCCUGCAGGCGAAACUGUGGUGCUGGAGUAUGGGAGAGGUGCGUGGAAUUUCCGGUGUAGCGGUGAAAUGCGUAGAUAUCGGAAGGAACACCUGUGGCGAAAGCGGCGCACUGGACCAAAACUGACGCUGAGGCGCGAAAGCUAGGGGAGCAAACAGG